rnacentral:rRNA from 1 species
AUUAAGGGGAACUAUACCUAUAAGGCAUCAGAUCCCAUCUGGUCUUGGAAGCUAAGUAGGAUCAGCUCAGGUUAGUACUUGGAUGGGAGAGCACCAAUGAAUUCCAGAUGUUGUAGAUG